GCCAGACUCCUACGGGAGGCAGCAGUGGGGAAUAUUGCACAAUGGGGGGAACCCUGAUGCAGCGACGCCGCGUGAGUGAAGAAGUAUUUCGGUAUGUAAAGCUCUCUCAGCAGGGAAGAAAUAGCGACCUUUGGGUCGCCAGACGGUACCUGAUUAAGAAGCCCCGGCUAACUACGUGCCAGCAGCCGCGGUAAUACGUAGGGGGCAAGCGUUAUCCGGAUUUACUGGGUGUAAAGGGAGCGUAGACGGCAGCGCAAGUCUGAAGUGAAAUGCCGGGGCUUAACCCCGGAACUGCUUUGGAAACUGUGCAGCUAGAGUGCAGGAGAGGUAAGUGGAAUUCCUAGUGUAGCGGUGAAAUGCGUAGAUAUUAGGAGGAACACCAGUGGCGAAGGCGGCUUACUGGACGACUACUGACGCUGAGGCUCGAAAGCGUGGGGAGCAAACAGGAUUAGAUACCCCUGUAA
rnacentral:rRNA from 1 species